UACGGAGGGUGCAAGCGUUGUCCGGAUUUAUUGGGUUUAAAGGGUGCGUAGGCGGUCUUUUAAGUCAGUGGUGAAAUCCUGCAGCUCAACUGUAGAACCGCCAUUGAUACUGGAAGACUUGAGUACAGACGAGGUAGGCGGAAUUUAUGGUGUAGCGGUGAAAUGCAUAGAUACCAUAAAGAACACCUAUUGCGAAGGCAGCUUACUAGGCUGUAACUGACGCUGAGGCACGAAAGCGUGGGGAUCAAACAGG
rnacentral:rRNA from 1 species